rnacentral:rRNA from 1 species
AAAUUGAAGAGUUUGAUCAUGGCUCAGAUUGAACGCUGGCGGCAGGCCUAACACAUGCAAGUCGAGCGGUAGCACAGAGAGCUUGCUCUCGGGUGACGAGCGGCGGACGGGUGAGUAAUGUCUGGGAAAUUGCCUGAUGGAGGGGGAUAACUACUGGAAACGGUAGCUAAUACCGCAUAAUGUCGCAAGACCAAAGUGGGGGACCUUCGGGCCUCAUGCCAUCAGAUGUGCCCAGAUGGGAUUAGCUAGUAGGUGGGGUAA